GGCGCGGGUAUGCGGAGCUGUGGUGGUGCCCCGGGGAGAUGUGCGGCCAUGUCUGGCUUGACGAGCAACCGGUGGGGCCCUGGCUCGCCGGCGUCGUCGUUGUGCGCGGCGGCGCCGAACUUGGCCCAGCCGCGGCGCUCGACGGCGCACUUGGUGACGCGCGUGUGCGCGACCUCACGGACACGGGUGGUGGUGGUCACCUUCACCACUUUCCCCUCCUCGUUGAAGCGGUACUCGACGGAUCCCGUUCUCGUCCGGCCCGAUGACCACGCGCGGUGGGAGCAGGGUGCUGAGGUCGCCGCCGCCACCGUAGUCGUCGUCCUCGUCGAGGUCGCUCCACCGCAUCGUCUGGAGCUUAUUCGUCGUCGCCGCCGCUGCCAUGAUUCCGUUCCGGGGUGCUCUUCCGAUGGUUGUGCCACGUGAUACGAUGCACUGGGAGUGAUAGGUGACAACGACACGGUGUUCUUCCCGGACAACCUGGUGGCUGUGCUGAACAAGUACGACCACGCGGAGAUGUACUACGUCGGGGCGCCGUCGGAGAGCGUGGAGUAGGACGUGAUGCACUCGUACGGCAUGGCGUUCGGCGGCGGCGGGUUCGCCAUCAGCUACCUGGCGGCGUGAGGCGGAUGGGCGGCGCGCGCGACCACGGACCGACCCCGCUGCGCUCAUCGCCACCACCCACAGGUACGCCGCGCCUCAGCAGAGUAUCAGAAGCGCGCGGCGAAGACGGCGAGGAGGUCGACGAGCGGCGACCGGAAGUCGAACACCCGCGCGGCCGCGCUUGCGCGACGACGACCUCCACGAACGACGCGUCCCCGGCGCGGAGGUGCACGGAGAGGAUCGUGGACGUGAGCGGAUUGCUGGGCCGCAUCGAGGCCGACGGUUGAGGGGGACGACCGCCGCGGCCAUCUGCACGACAGCAGCCAUCGGUGGCGGCGCCCGUCGCAUCGGCCCUACUCUCCGCAGCGCUCCUCCCCUGCCAGCCGCCGGCCACGCCGGCCCUCCUCCCCGUCGCGUCGAAGACUCUGCCGCCAUCCACAUCGGAGCGAAAAAUGAGAGAGGAAGGAGAGAAGAGGGGGGAGAGAGAGAGAGGUGACGUGGACACCUGUCACAUGGGUCCCACGCUGACUCAGCUGCCACGUCAGAUAAAACCGGGUGAAAACCACCUAGGGACCUAAAGUGAAUGGUUUUGUAAAUUGAGGGAUAUGAUAUAUCUGGUUUUGUGGUUGGGGGACGAUUUUGUAACUCGAUGACAAGUUGAGGGACCUUCGGCGUACUUUUUCCUUUUGUGGAUGAGGAUGCCAGAAUUUUGAAUUAUCCUUUUAUUAUGGGCCUUGAGAUCACGGGCUAGUUGAGAGCUGUGGACAAUUUGUCAGGCCGAGGCUACUGGGCUAAUUAGGUGUACUUGUAUUAUUGGGCCUCAAUUUAUUGGGCUUCAAGGCCCAAAUUUCUUUCAUGUUCUGUUUGGAAUUCGGCCUAUAGCCAGUUUGGUUUCUUCCAUUUUAGGCAGUGAGCCAGUCAAGCAUAUGAAUAUUCUACGAACAAAAACCCCAGAAUUUUUCCGAUGAUUCCUUCGGAUUCGCGUUUCGGGGCUGACGAAACCCAAUCCACCACCCAAAAAAGUAGCGAGUCUCCGAUCGAAUUCGCCACCCAGUAUCUCAAUUUCGUUCGUGCGAGGCAUCCGUGUUCGAUUUGCGAAGGUGAAUUUUGAUCGGUUUGGUUUGGAUUUUUGGUUUUUUUUUUCUCCAUCAGAUGGAUGGAUUGGCGCCGGCGGCGAUGUCGGAGGCGCUGCUGGUCUUCGCGAGCGGGAGAUCCAUCGGCGGCGCCGGUCCAGGACGACGACCUCAUCUUCGCCGCGGCGAGAGCCGGGAGUUCGCGUGGAUCUACGACUACGAGGAUGCGCCGAUGAGUGCGCCGGUGUGGUGAGAGGGGUUUGGGCAGCUCCAAUCUCGAGUCGAGGCGCCCGCUGAUGGGGACGAGGAGGUCAAUGGGGAUCGAGCGUGGCCUCGCGGCUCGCGCCGUCCAUCCCCAAUGGGAAGAAGGGUGGUGGUAUGAAGAUUCUAGGGCGAGGAAGGACGAUUCCGAUCAGGGGGCGCUACCUGUGUAAUGUUAAAAUGGUGGCUUGGAGGGGCAGGACAAUGCUCAGGGAUUUCUCCAAGGUGAGGGUGCAGGAGACUGAAGAAAAACAGGGUUUGGGAAUUGGUUAUUGGGUUGAUGCACUGCAACAGAAGCUGCAUUUCUCGAUUCCGCUGGUGAGGGAAGGGGAUGGGUCGAUAGAGGUUGUUGCAGACAACAAUGGAUGGAGCUUCAUGGGUGAGGAUGUGGUUGCGCGAUCAGGGAUAUCGAGGAAGAGUAGGAUGUAGAAGGCGAGGGAAGCCGAAACCUCUCUCAAGCUAGAAGGAUGAUUGGCUCUCCUCAGUGUUUCAUAGGUAACAUUUUACAGUUCGUUCCAUGUAAACCUUAUACCUUAAAUAGGGCUAAUAGUUUACAAUCAAUUUAGUAGGUUUAAUGAUGAUCUUUACACACUUCUGUAUAAGCAACAAAAGUAUUAGAUUAUAGCAUACCAUGUUCCUUGUGUACUUAUUAUUGAUUUAACUUCAGAGCCUAUGAAUUUAACUUGUAAGCAAGAUAAGUCACUUUUCCAAUCUGUACACUUGUUGGGCCAUGUUCAGGUAAGUGCAAUUAUGGAACUAUGUUGUGUAAAAUGAAUACGCAUUGAUUUAUUCGAAAGUGUUGGCUUACUAUUGUAGGAGGCUUUGUUAGCACAGCGAACUUUAAUCACCAAACUGAUAAAUGCACAACCACCUUCAGCAAACAGCAUCAUACAGCAAAACCUUUUCCUUAGAAUAGUAUUGCAUGUAUCUAUUUAUUGUAAAGCUGAAUGACAUGCCAUGUGUGAUCUUAGGGAAUUUAGUUUUUCAGUACUGACUGUUUUGAACUAUUUUAGAAAUUAGCAGAAUCGUCCACUUCUCUGAUGUUAGACCAAUGUAUGAUAUCACGCUUUCCAAGUUCGAUACAAUCGAUUACAUGGUCGGUAUUUUCAUAAUGUAGUAGGUUUUUUAUUUUACAUGGCCUCUGCAGAUAUUGAUGCCAACCUAAAUGCUGAUCCAUGUUUUAGCUGCACUUUCUAUCGAAUACAUACUGAAGCUCCAGCGAUGUUUGUUGGUUAUGUCUAGUCCUGCACUGACCUUAGGAAGCUUGUUGUCAUACCUGGGCCCUUUUUAAAGUGAAUGUAAUUUCGUGCACUCCCAUAUGGCCAUAUAUAUUCUCCCCAUAAGUCUGCUUUUGAAAUCUUUGGAGAUCUCGUGACCUCAUCAUCUCCAUGUCCAAUGUGGAUUUUCUCUCUUUCUUCUUUAUCAGAUUAACUGUAGCAUUACUUAACCUAUGAAGAUGGUUGUAUUCUGUAGUGAUCGGGCUUACUCAAAAAGUAAAAAGCACCUGUCCCUUGUGAUUAUGUCAUUGUUUGUAUAUCUAUGCAGAUUGUUACUCUUAAGCCGCACAGGUUUUAUAGUUUUGUCAAAUAUCAGCUUUUGCUACAUGUUUGUACUUUUUAGGAGAACAGUAGUUCUAUUGAAAUAUAUAUAGUAUGAAGAAUAAAAGUCGACAAAGAAAUUUUUGCAAGGGUUUUGUAGAAACCAAAGAUGACUAAACAACAUGAACUUCUAGAUAACAGACCAAGCUUAUAAUCCCAGGCAAAUACAUUAGUAGAGCAUGAUAAACCCUAAAAAGAUCAAAUAUGUUAUCUCUGAACACCUGGAGAUAAGUGUUGACAAACAAGCUGAUGAGAUUCUUAAGGGUCCUCUCAUCAGGUUUUGGUCAGAAGCUGUUUGCAUUUGAUGGUACAUUACUGGAGCAGCUACAUAUUUCACAGUGUGUGUCAUGCAUACCUACCGAUGUUUACUACUUAAAUUAUCUUUAUGCAAUGAACUUAAAUAUGAUAUAGUAUUCGUGUUAUUAAGUAGCCUGUAUGGCAUACCACCCUAUUUCAAGUAAUAAGACACUUAAAAUUUCCAGGGAAAUCGAUAUGUUGCUAUUGAAUUAGUUAGUUUUGCUCUUCUGCAAUUGUAAACAAGGAUAAGCUAUUUUCUCUUUCUGUAUCUUGUAGCUCAAAUAUUUCAAAAGGUUUUCAAUAUAUAGUUGCACACGUACAUACCUACACCUACUUUUUCUUAUUGCAAUGCUACCUUAAGUGUAAUCUGUUUAGUUCGCUAUAAUAUAUAGUACUAGUUUAUGCAGGUCUCUGCUUGCUUGGAUGCAUUCGUUGUGAGGGAGAGAGAAUUAAAUAAUUCAUGUAUUUUACUUCAAUGGGAUUAAAAUUUUUGGUUUGCCUUGUUUAUUACUUUAUUGUUUAUGCUACACUGCAACUCUUGAACAGCUUUAUCGAUUUGCUUAUAUUUUUUAUCAGGUAGCAAUUGACUAUAUCCUUUACUGUUACAUGUAUUUACUAUCGUGGGUACAAAAUAAUGACUAUGAUUAUUUUUGUCAUUCAUCUGUUUUUACACUUGUAUCUGGUCUGGAAAGUUCAUGAUCUACUCCUGAAGGAUAUGCAUGUCAUCCUGCAGUAAACUAUGGGAUAACCAAUACUCACAGUCUAGAUGUAGCCUCAUUCUGCAUGACCGGUUCAUCAACAUGAUAAACAUUCCAGGUACAUUUAUCAUACUUUAGCCAUCAUGGAAAGUAUGUGUCAAAGGUUCUCUAUAAAUUAUAUUUCGCAAAAGAACCUUCUUCAGGAAGAUGAAAGAGCAUCUGCUUUCAUCUUCUUUUUCAUUGAUCAGAUGCCUUACGGCAGACAUGUGGUUCGGUAUUGACGCAUUAGCGAAUUUCUUGUGAUACAUUCCUGCUUUGCAGAAUUUUUUUUAUUGGAUAUUAUUGUAAUGUCAAUUCAUUUGUCAAUUUAGUGAUAGGCAAGUGGCGUUGCGCAUUUAGUAUUAGAAACAAAAUUUGCAUGUUUGAUACGGACAUUAUAUUCUGGAGAAAAGCUUACUUCAUGAGCUUUGCUGGCACGGAAGUCUCUUAGCAAUGAAGGAUUUGAGAGCAAUACCUUUGAUUCCCUUCUGCGUUGAUGAUUUUGUCAUGUUGUUUCCUAGUUCCUUUUUUGCAUAUACAAGUUUCUCUGCAUUGGUUUUGUGACAUUAGUGAAGGUUCUGCCUGUUUUCCCUCAACGGAGCUUUCUAAGGUAUAUUCAAGUUUAAUCAGCUUGUGAUAAAGUUAGUGUUUAUGCAGAUCAUACAUAUAAUACUUGUCGGCUCAGGGGGAAAACAUAAGUUAUCUGCACAGUUUGGAUUGAAUUUUGGAAUGAAGAUAACCAAGGUCUCUUGCCAGUUUGCUCCUGCAGUGUCCCGUACUCCAGUGUGGCCACUUGCCUGCCAGUGGCGAUGAAGAGGAAACAGUGUUAAGGCAUGCAGUGCAGCAACAAGCUCGGCCGGUUUAAGAGUGAUGACAAGCACGCGGUCCCUGCUGCGGUUUGUGCCCAGAAUGGGACUGUGAGCAUGGCCGGGACAGAUAGUUUUGUUGGAUUGGAUGCACACUGCCGGCCGGCCUGCACCAUCGCCGUCCCGUGUGUCACGGGCACUCGUACGUCGCCGGCCGUCGCCGUCACUGGCCCACCCGUCAGCGGCACACGGUGGGGUUGUUCUUGUUACAGUGGGAAGCUGGAAGAGUGUUGGCAAGAGAACAGUGAGGCUGGUUGUUGCUGGCUAUGAUGUUAACCUGACCUAUUGCUACUGCUCCUGCUGCACACUGUGGCUCUCCAGUGACUCUCCAGUGAGCCCAUCUCAACCUAUCCGGUUUGUGCAUGCGGUGCCAUGGCCAUUCUGGAGCUGAGUCCCAGGUUAAAGUGGUGUACCCAUCCAAUGUUGCUGCUGCUGUUCUUGAUGUGCCUGUCCUGAAACAUCACAAGUGAAGUCCAGUCAAGUUCUGUUCAGUGUCCCCCUAUCUUCACGAGACGAGCUGGCGUUGCAUUGCGAGAAGAGAGAUGACAAACGGUGUGGCUCAAACUGGGAGCUCAUCCCAAGCAAAAGCUCCAUCUCAACCGAUGGAAGCAGGCAAAGCAUUUUAGCUCCUACUACUUCAUUGUAUCACGGUGAGGAUUUUGGUUUUGUUUUGCAUGAUACAAAAGAUUGCUGUUCAUCGUUGCAGCAGUUGGGGGUAAGGUAGUAACUCCCCCGUCCCAUAAUAUAACAUUUUUUUUCUAUGAAUCAAUUGUUCAGAUUUAUAGCUAAAAA